GACGAACGCUGGCGGCGUGCUUAAUACAUGCAAGUCUAAGGGUUUAUCUUCCUUCGGGAAGAUAGACACUGGCGCACGGGUGAGUAACACGUAAGUCAUCUGCCCUUGGGUCUGGCACAACUCCGGGAAACCGGGCUAAUUCCAGAUGAUACCGAAAGGUCAAAGUUUCGACGCCCAAGGAUGAGCUUGCGUCUGAUUAGCUAGUUGGCGGGGUAAUGG
rnacentral:rRNA from 1 species